CGAACGGAAAGGCCCUGCUUGCAGGGUACUCGAGUGGCGAACGGGUGAGUAACACGUGGGUGAUCUGCCCUGCACUUCGGGAUAAGCUUGGGAAACUGGGUCUAAUACCGGAUAGGAACCAUCUUUAGUGUGGUGGUUGGAAAGUUUUUUCGGUGUAGGAUGAGCUCGCGGCCUAUCAGCUUGCUGGUGGGGUAAUGGCCUACCAAGGCGGCGACGGGUAGCCGGCCUGAGAGGGUGUACGGCCACAUUGGGACUGAGAUACGGCCCAGACUCCUACGGGAGGCAGCAGUGGGGAAUAUUGCACAAUGGGCGCAAGCCUGAUGCAGCGACGCCGCGUGGGGGAUGAAGGCCUUCGGGUUGUAAACUCCUUUCGCUAGGGACGAAGCUUUUUGUGACGGUACCUAGAUAAGAAGCACCGGCUAACUACGUGCCAGCAGCCGCGGUAAUACGUAGGGUGCGAGCGUUGUCCGGAAUUACUGGGCGUAAAGGGCUCGUAGGUGGUUUGUCGCGUCGUCUGUGAAAUUCUGGGGCUUAACUCCGGGCGUGCAGGCGAUACGGGCAUAACUUGAGUGCUGUAGGGGUAACUGGAAUUCCUGGUGUAGCGGUGAAAUGCGCGGAUAUCAGGAGGAACACCGAUGGCGAAGGCAGGUUACUGGGCAGUUACUGACGCUGAGGAGCGAA
rnacentral:rRNA from 1 species